GGUUAAGCGACUAAGCGUACACGGUGGAUGCCCUGGCAGUCAGAGGCGAUGAAGGACGUGCUAAUCUGCGAAAAGCGCCGGCGAGGUGAUAUGAACCUUUGACCCGGCGAUGUCCGAAUGGGGAAACCCAGUGCAAUCCGUUGCACUAUCGUUAACUGAAUACAUAGGUUAACGAGGCGAACCGGGGGAACUGAAACAUCUAAGUACCCCGAGGAAAAGAAAUCAACCGAGAUUCCCCCAGUAGCGGCGAGCGAACGGGGAGCAGCCCGGAGUCUGAAUCAGCUUGUGUGUUAGUGGAACGGUCUGGAAAGUCCGACGGUACAGGGUGAUAGUCCCGUACACGAAAAUGCACAUGCUGUGAACUCGAAGAGUAGGGCGGGACACGUGGUAUCCUGUCUGAAUAUGGGGGGACCAUCCUCCAAGGCUAAAUACUCCUGACUGACCGAUAGUGAACCAGUACCGUGAGGGAAAGGCGAAAAGAACCCCGGCGAGGGGAGUGAAAAAGAACCUGAAACCGUGUACGUACAAGCAGUGGGAGCCUCUUUAUGGGGUGACUGCGUACCUUUUGUAUAAUGGGUCAGCGACUUAUAUUCUGUAGCAAGGUUAACCGUAUAGGGGAGCCGAAGGGAAACCGAGUCUUAACUGGGCGUUAAGUUGCAGGGUAUAGACCCGAAACCCGGUGAUCUAGCCAUGGGCAGGUUGAAGGUUGGGUAACACUAACUGGAGGACCGAACCGACUAAUGUUGAAAAAUUAGCGGAUGACCUGUGGCUGGGGGUGAAAGGCCAAUCAAACCGGGAGAUAGCUGGUUCUCCCCGAAAGCUAUUUAGGUAGCGCCUCGUGAACUCAUCUUCGGGGGUAGAGCACUGUUUCGGCUAGGGGGCCAUCCCGGCUUACCAACCCGAUGCAAACUACGAAUACCGAAGAAUGUUAUCACGGGAGACACACGGCGGGUGCUAACGUCCGUCGUGAAGAGGGAAACAACCCAGACCGCCAGCUAAGGUCCCAAAGUCAUGGUUAAGUGGGAAACGAUGUGGGAAGGCACAGACAGCCAGGAUGUUGGCUUAGAAGCAGCCAUCAUUUAAAGAAAGCGUAAUAGCUCACUGGUCGAGUCGGCCUGCGCGGAAGAUGUAACGGGGCUAAACCAUGCACCGAAGCUGCGGCAGCGACGCUUAUGCGUUGUUGGGUAGGGGAGCGUUCUGUAAGCCGUUGAAGGUGUGCUGUGAGGCAUGCUGGAGGUAUCAGAAGUGCGAAUGCUGACAUAAGUAACGAUAAAGCGGGUGAAAAGCCCGCUCGCCGGAAGACCAAGGGUUCCUGUCCAACGUUAAUCGGGGCAGGGUGAGUCGACCCCUAAGGCGAGGCCGAAAGGCGUAGUCGAUGGGAAACAGGUUAAUAUUCCUGUACUUGGUGUUACUGCGAAGGGGGGACGGAGAAGGCUAUGUCAGCCGGGCGACGGUUGUCCCGGUUUAAGCAUGUAGGCGGAGGUUCCAGGUAAAUCCGGUACCUUUUAACGCUGAGGUGUGAUGACGAGGCACUACGGUGCUGAAGUGAUAAAUGCCCUGCUUCCAGGAAAAGCCUCUAAGCAUCAGGUAACACGAAAUCGUACCCCAAACCGACACAGGUGGUCAGGUAGAGAAUACCAAGGCGCUUGAGAGAACUCGGGUGAAGGAACUAGGCAAAAUGGUGCCGUAACUUCGGGAGAAGGCACGCUGAUGUGUAGGUGAAGCCCCUGCGGGUGGAGCUGAAAUCAGUCGAAGAUACCAGCUGGCUGCAACUGUUUAUUAAAAACACAGCACUGUGCAAACACGAAAGUGGACGUAUACGGUGUGACGCCUGCCCGGUGCCGGAAGGUUAAUUGAUGGGGUUAGCGGCAACGCGAAGCUCUUGAUCGAAGCCCCGGUAAACGGCGGCCGUAACUAUAACGGUCCUAAGGUAGCGAAAUUCCUUGUCGGGUAAGUUCCGACCUGCACGAAUGGCGUAAUGAUGGCCAGGCUGUCUCCACCCGAGACUCAGUGAAAUUGAACUCGCUGUGAAGAUGCAGUGUACCCGCGGCAAGACGGAAAGACCCCGUGAACCUUUACUAUAGCUUGACACUGAACACUGGUCCUUGAUGUGUAGGAUAGGUGGGAGGCUUUGAAGCGUGGACGCCAGUCUGCGUGGAGCCAACCUUGAAAUACCACCCUUUAAUGGCUGGUGUUCUAACGUAGACCCGUAAUCCGGGUUGCGGACAGUGUCUGGUGGGUAGUUUGACUGGGGCGGUCUCCUCCCAAAGAGUAACGGAGGAGCACGAAGGUUGGCUAAUCCUGGUCGGACAUCAGGAGGUUAGUGCAAUGGCAUAAGCCAGCUUGACUGCGAGCGUGACGGCGCGAGCAGGUGCGAAAGCAGGUCAUAGUGAUCCGGUGGUUCUGAAUGGAAGGGCCAUCGCUCAACGGAUAAAAGGUACUCCGGGGAUAACAGGCUGAUACCGCCCAAGAGUUCAUAUCGACGGCGGUGUUUGGCACCUCGAUGUCGGCUCAUCACAUCCUGGGGCUGAAGUAGGUCCCAAGGGUAUGGCUGUUCGCCAUUUAAAGUGGUACGCGAGCUGGGUUUAGAACGUCGUGAGACAGUUCGGUCCCUAUCUGCCGUGGGCGCUGGAGAAUUGAGGGGGGCUGCUCCUAGUACGAGAGGACCGGAGUGGACGCAUCACUGGUGUUCGGGUUGUCAUGCCAAUGGCACUGCCCGGUAGCUAAAUGCGGAAGAGAUAAGUGCUGAAAGCAUCUAAGCACGAAACUUGCCCCGAGAUGAGUUCUCCCUGAGACUUUAAGUCUCCUGAAGGAACGUUGAAGACGACGACGUUGAUAGGUCGGGUGUGUAAGCGCAGCGAUGCGUUGAGCUAACCGAUACUAAUGAACCGUGAGGCUUAACCUU
rnacentral:rRNA from 1 species